UUGUGGUUAAAAAGCUCGUAGUUGGAUCUCGGCGGACUGAGGGCGGUUUGCUUGCUAGUAUUACUGCCCUAUAGUCCGUAGUUUUGCCAGAGGUUUCGGGGUGCUCUUAAUCGAGUGUCCCGGGAUGCUGGCAGGUUUACUUUGAAAAAAUUAGAGUGCUCAAAGCAGGCUAUUACGCCUGAAUAUUCGUGCAUGGAAUAAUAGAAUAGGAAGUCGUUUCUAUUUUGUUGGUUUUCGGAGAUCGACUUAAUGAUUAAUAGGGACAGUCGGGGGCAUUUGUAUUCAAACGACAGAGGUGAAAUUCUUGGACCGUUUGAAGACAAACUACUGCGAAAGCAUUUGCCAAGAAUGUUUUCAUUAAUCAAGAACGAAAGUUAAAGGUUCGAAGGCGAUUAGAUACCGCCCUAGUUUUAACCAUAAACGAUGCCAGCUAGCGAUCUGCGGACGUUUUUUUUGUAGACUCCGCAGGAAGCUUCCGGGAAACCAAAAGCAUUUGGGUUCCAGGGGGAAGUAUGGUUGCAAAGCUGAAACUUAAAGGAAUUGACGGAAGGGCACCCCCAAGAGUGGAGCCUGUGGCUUAAUUUGACUCAACACGGGAAAUCUCACCAGGCCCGGACACUGGAAGGAUGGAC
rnacentral:rRNA from 1 species